AGCUUUCGACAUGAUUCU
rnacentral:miRNA from 1 species